GGCGGGACUGACUUAAAGGGCAGCUUCCAGGGUCUGACACAGGCCAUCAGGCUCAGGUUCUGAAGAUGGCCCGGGAAUUUGUGGUUUUAUGAAGCCCUUAAUGAUCCUCAUAUACUCUGAGGCUUGAGCCCCUUAGUCCAGCCUUUGAUCAUUUCCACCUUGUUCCUUAGGAUGGAGUGAUGGUGCUCAGCGCAACCCACCGGUACAAGAAGAAGUACGUCACCACCUUGUUAUACAAGCCCAUAUGAAGAGCUGGGGGCCGAUGGUGGCCCAGGAGACAGCGCACCACCAGGCUUCACGCAUGCAUGCUUUCCCCAGGAGGGAAUGGACUGUACAUUGCUCAUUUCACACUCUUCAGAAGACAUUUCAUACCUGCCCUGGUCCUGCUUGAAGGUUUGUCCAGGCAGAGCAGCUCCUGUAGCGCCUCGGUCUGUGACAGUCCUCCUAGCACCCCCAUAGCUUUGAGCCUCGGGGACUCAUCAAGUCCAAGAAAAGAGGGAGGGGUGGCAGAGGAUCUGCAGCCCUGGCCCCGCGGUGCAUGAGGCCGGGUGCAGUUCUAAACCCACAUUCUCGAUUCUUAAGCCAAAAAUGAAUGCUAACUCCUUUGCCAGUAAAAUUCUGGGAAACAGGGACUGAGGCCACACAUAAUUUCCAGUCAUCUGUGUGUUUUUAAGGCCAGCCCCUUGUCCCUGUUGAGGCCUGGCUGUGGAACUAAAUACAGCAUUGGUCUUACCUCUCCUUCAAAAUCAGCAAUAGAUUGUCUCUCGUCUCCAGGGAGGUGUCAUUUCUAUAGAAAUUAGAAGCUUUCUGAUUUCUAGAUGAAGUUUUACAAUUGUUUCUUACAGUUAACGUGCACUAAGUACUCUUUUUGUAAGCAGAGGUGGCUGGCUCUGCAGCCUUAAGGCCAUUUUUUAAGUCACCACGACUAGAAGUCACAUGAACUCUGCUCAGCAAUAAUCUGUUCUCAAAACAGACUUUUCAACCUGCUGCUGGAUUUCUCCAUUCAGCUGGAUGAUCUUGAGGACUGACCAGUUAGCUGGCAGGUCGUCCAGCUUUUUAUUCCAGUCAUAAUAGGUGACAGUGUUAACCGUGAAAACUUGAGAGGCACUCCACCUUCCUCCCUAUAAAAUCACACUGUGAUUUUACAAGGUGGCACCUUGCUUAGGACCUCUGCCCCUAGUUAGCAAGACUACAGCAGUUGCUGUUGCUUAUUCUGAAAGGAAUGUAGAACUUGACAGCAGCCUUCUGAGUUUGGGUCAGGAAGAUGUCCUUUGGACCAAAGCAGACUUCUUUAAACGCAGCUCAGUUUCCCGGGAGUCGCCACAGAUGUGCCCACUAGCCCAGGUUCCUGUGAGUCAGCAGAAGCUCCCGUUAAGCCCUUUGCUCCUGGUGGGAGAGGGAGGAGUGAGCUCCCUGGGUUCCAGUAUUUACUUGGUAUACCUGAGUUCGGGGGUACCCUUUUUUGUUACUGUCUUCAAAACAGUGAAUCACUGUCACCUUGAU
rnacentral:sRNA from 1 species